AUGAUUUACGUAAUUCUGCUUUUUUCAAUGUUCUUUGGUAGCAGUUAUGAGGAGGAAAUAAUAUCAGCCACAACUGAAGAGCGUGUUUUUGAGGGUGAAGAAGAGCUUGUUCAGGAGGGAAGGAAUGUCCAUCUCUACUGCAAAUAUGAUGGCAUUGUCUACAAUCUACAGUGGUACCGCCAAUAUCCCAGAUCCCAACCAGAUGUCCUCUUGUACAUCACACCAAAGUGGUCUCGUCUGACACAAAGUGGACAAAGUGGACAAACACUGCCCUCCACAGUCAUGAAGUCCAGAAUGGUAUGUGGAGAUAGUGUGACUCCUGACAAGGAGGAGUACACCCCCACUGAGAGAUCAUCAGUAUCUCUGAGAUGUACAUAUGAAACACGCAGUAAUUAUGUUUCCCUUUACUGGUACCGGCAUUAUUGUAACCAUGCUCCUCAGUUUCUACUGUAUAAAGGUGCCAGAUCAUUGAGUUAUGUUGAACACAUCCCUGAUAAGAGAUAUAAAUCCACAACAUCCCGGACAUCAUCUGAACUGGUCAUAACAAGCCUAACCCUGGCAGACACAGCUCUCUACUACUGUGCUCUCAGGGAACAUACACAGUGA